AGAGUUUGAUCCUGGCUCAGAUUGAACGCUGGCGGCAUGCUUUACACAUGCAAGUCGAACGGUAACAGGGGAGCUUGCUCCCGCUGACGAGUGGCGAACGGGUGAAUAAUGCAUCGGAACGUGCCGAAUAGUGGGGGAUAACGCACCGAAAGGUGUGCUAAUACCGCAUACGCCCUGAGGGGGAAAGUGGGGGACCGCAAGGCCUCACGCUAAUCGAGCGGCCGAUGUCGGAUUAGCUAGUUGGUGGGGUAAAGGCUCACCAAGGCGACGAUCCGUAGCGGGUCUGAGAGGAUGACCCGCCACACUGGGACUGAGACACGGCCCAGACUCCUACGGGAGGCAGCAGUGGGGAAUUUUGGACAAUGGGGGAAACCCUGAUCCAGCCAUGCCGCGUGUCUGAAGAAGGCCUUCGGGUUGUAAAGGACUUUUGUCCGGGAGGAAACCCUGAUCGUUAAUAGCGGUCGGGACUGACAGUACCGGAAGAAUAAGCACCGGCUAACUACGUGCCAGCAGCCGCGGUAAU
rnacentral:rRNA from 1 species